CUUUCUACCUUUGGGUUAGCCUUAACUGAUUAAAAUUUAAUAUAUCGCAUAUUCUAUACCCAUUCCGACUUGAGUUUGAUUUGAGUAAAGCCUUAAAUAUCAGAUAAACUUAUCCUCAACCGUUACAAUACUUAAAAUACCUUGUGCAUUUUAAGAAAAUAACGUCCCACACAAAUUGAGCUCAACAAUAUCCAUAAAACACUAUUAAUUUUGUU
rnacentral:lncRNA from 1 species